GACGAACCACACAAACGUUAUUCGGAAUUACUGGGCUUAAAGGGUGCGUAGGCGGCGCAGAAAGUAGGGUGUGAAAUCCCUCGGCUCAACCGAGGAACUGCGCCCUAAACUACUGUGCUCGAGGGAGGUAGAGGUGAGCGGAACUUAGGGUGGAGCGGUGAAAUGCGUUGAUAUCCUAAGGAACACCGGUGGCGAAAGCGGCUCACUGGACCUCUUCUGACGCUGAGGCACGAAAGCUAGGGUAGCGAACGG
rnacentral:rRNA from 1 species